UGGACUUUGGACCGUCGGUUUACCGAGCAAAUUAAUAUCACCCGCUCGGUGGAAGAUCUUCCCUUUGUCGU
rnacentral:pre_miRNA from 1 species